UGAAAUGGUUGAGCUGGAGACAGAAAGAGAAGAAAAAGAGAAGCCAUAUGCAGCUCAUCACAUAAAACUCUUCAAAGCCACUUCCUUGACUGACAAUUCCUAAUUUAUGAUGGACAGUAAAACUAUUUGGUUGCUGCUUCAAAUAAAGGAAUUGUGUGAAAUUGGCUCCUCCAGGUCUCAAAACAGCUGGGGGUGACACUGAGUGACAUCAGGAGGAGACUUGAGGAGAGAGAGAAGAAACUGAAAGAGACGAGGAGGGUGAUGGAGCAGAUGAAGGUCUCUUUGGAAAGAGAAUUAGAGAAAAAUGAGAAGAGCUUCACUGAUCUGAUCCACUACAUUGAAGAAGCUCAGAAGAAACUGGUUGAGAGGAUCAGAGAACAAGAAAAGAGAGAAAUAGAGAAGGCUGAAGGAGUCAUGGAGCGACUAGAGAAGGAGAUUGAGGAGCUGAAGAAGAAAGACGCUGAGCUGAAGGAGCUUUCAGGCACCAAGGACCAUGUGCACUUCCUGCAGACCUUCUCAUCUCGCUGUGUUCUUCCUUCUGAUGGAGACUCGCUCAGCUUCACUGUCACUGCUGAUUUCUCUUUUGAGGACCAGAGAAAGGAACUGUCAGGUCUGAAAAAGAGUCUAGAGAAGAUCAGCCAGUGGGACAUCAAGACAUGGACUCCAUCAGGUCUCAAAGCUCCACUUGUCACCCUACAGCCUCCUGAACCUCAGAGCAGAGACGAGUUUUUACAAUUAGACGUUAUGACCACCGUGUAAAACUGAGCUGCGCCCGCCUGAUCUGCAAUAUAAGGAGGUGCUGCUGCUGCCUUGAAUAGACGUCUGAGCAUCAGCACCACCGCCAUGAUGAGAUUCACCGCCCUGCUGGUUCUGCUGUGCCUGUGCUCGAUGGCGAUGGCUUCUAUUUCUGACUUUCCAGCUGACCAGGAGGAGGAAUCGCCUUCAACCAUAAAAGCUGCGAGAGCUGAAAACAGGGGAAACAUGAGAGUAGCAAGAAGAUAUGGAGAAGCAGGAAUGGGAGGAUCAUUUGGAGCAGGAGGAGUAACAUACGGAGGAUAUGGAGGAUGAUCUUUCAGGGCUUAGCCAAAAGGACCAAAGCAGACCAGUUAUUGCCAAGAAAGAAGAAGUCAAAGAAAGUUCAUUAAUUUAAAAUAAAAACAAA